GUGAGGAAUUUUCCGCAAUGGGCGAAAGCCUGACGGAGCAAUGCCGCGUGAAGGAUGAAGGCCUAUGGGUUGUAAACUUCUUUUCUCAGAAAAGAAUUAUGACGGUAUCUGAGGAAUAAGCAUCGGCUAACUCUGUGCCAGCAGCCGCGGUAAGACAGAGGAUGCAAGCGUUAUCCGGAAUGAUUGGGCGUAAAGCGUCUGUAGGUUGUUUAAAAAGUAUUCUGUCAAAGAUUGGGGCUUAACCCUAGAUAGGCAGAAUAAACUUUUAAGCUAGAGUUUGGUAGAGGCAGAGGGAAUUCCCGGUGGAGCGGUGAAAUGCGUAGAUAUCGGGAGGAACACCAAAGGCGAAGGCACUCUGCUGGGCCAAUACUAACACUGAGAGACGAAAGCGAGGGGAGCAAAUGGGAUUAGAUACCCGAGUAGUCC
rnacentral:rRNA from 1 species